UACGGAGGAUCCAAGCGUUAUCCGGAAUCAUUGGGUUUAAAGGGUCCGUAGGCGGGUAGAUAAGUCAGUGGUGAAAGUUUUCGGCUCAACCGAGAAAUUGCCAUUGAUACUGUUUAUCUUGAAUUAGUGUGCAGUGGUUAGAAUGUGUAGUGUAGCGGUGAAAUGCAUAGAUAUUACACAGAAUACCGAUUGCGAAGGCAGAUCACUAACACUAUAUUGACGCUAAGGGACGAGAGCGUGGGUAGCGAACAGG
rnacentral:rRNA from 1 species